UACGAAGGGGGCUAGCGUUGCUCGGAAUUACUGGGCGUAAAAGGGCGCGUAGGCGGGUCGUUUAGUUAGAGGUGAAAGCCCAGGGCUCAACCCUGGAAUUGCCUUUAAUACUGGCGGCCUUGAGUAUGGCAGAGGUGUGUGGAACUCCGAGUGUAGAGGUGAAAUUCGUAGAUAUUCGGAAGAACACCAGUGGCGAAGGCGACACACUGGGCCAUUACUGACGCUGAGGCGCGAAAGCGUGGGGAGCAAACA
rnacentral:rRNA from 1 species